rnacentral:lncRNA from 1 species
UUUUUUUACUUAAAAAAUAUUACAUUUCAAGUACUAAGUUUAAAAAUGUUUUUGGCUGAUCUUUUUCAUUUUAAAUUAUUCAUUGAAGUUGGGGUCAUUGUAUGUGGCGAUCUAUUUUUUACAGUCUAUGCUCGCUAUCCCAAGGUUCAUUGCGAUCCCAAGGUUCACUGCGGUUUUCCACAAGCCUGUUUCUGCCUAUCACCAUGAGUGAUUCCUUGAUACUCAUAUUUAUCAUCAAGAUCUCAAUUAUAAGCUCAAGUCUUGAUGACAACUUGAUGAUCUGCAGGAAGCACCACCAUGUAUAGAGGGCAAAGACCACUCUGGAAUCAGUCAAGGGAUUGCAGUGACCAGACAUGCUACUGUAACUCUCAUGGUCAUGUGCUGGAAUUAGCAGAUAUUCAACAAUUUGGCCAUCUUGCUGACCUAUUGAUAUCAGAAGACCACAACAGCUCUGCAAAGCAAGUUGGAAAACAGAAUCCAUGAAACUGGCAGUGACCGGAAACCAGUUAGAAGACUUUGGUCUGUGACGUAGAGGAGUGGGCAGACGCAGAAGCAAAGACGACAAACAACAGAAGUGAUAUGGAUGUCUUCGUCAUAUGGCAUGACUCUGCUGACCCAGCAACAAAGAGGAGGGUGUUCAACAUCAUCCUGCUAGUCAGGAUUCUUCAGAAGCAGUGGAUUCUUGUGGCAGAGAUGGCCAACCACUAUAAAUACAUUUCAACUCAUCCUGGUUCCUUCAAAGAACUUUCCUGCUUGUUUGCUACUGAAAAGUAUAUUCGACAUGUGGCCUAAACGAAGAGGGGUUAAAAGGUCUAUGGAUCAUCAUUCUCAGAAAGCAACAAAAUAACUGAGAAAUAAACAACAAUACGAUGGUGCAAUCUAGAGACCUACAAGGUACCUGCAAGUUUUGGCUGGAGCAGAGAACAUACAUAUUUUAAAUAAAGCUCCAGCUGAUGAGUUUGACAUUGACUGUGGAUUUUCUUUUACUGUAAUCCAGAAGAGGAUGACCUUAACCCUGAAUCUAAAGCAUGUAAUAAAAUCUGUAAAAAUAAAAUAAAAUUUUCAUCAUCU